CUACGGGGGGCAGCAGUGGGGAAUAUUGGACAAUGGGCGAAAGCCUGAUCCAGCCAUGCCGCGUGUGUGAAGAAGGCCUUCGGGUUGUAAAGCACUUUCAGUGGGGAAGAAAGCCUUGGGGCUAAUACCCUCGAGGAAGGACAUCACCCACAGAAGAAGCACCGGCUAACUCCGUGCCAGCAGCCGCGGUAAUACGGAGGGUGCGAGCGUUAAUCGGAAUUACUGGGCGUAAAGCGCGCGUAGGCGGUCUGAUAAGCCGGUUGUGAAAGCCCCGGGCUCAACCUGGGAACGGCAUCCGGAACUGUCAGGCUAGAGUGCAGGAGAGGAAGGUAGAAUUCCCGGUGUAGCAGUGAAAUGCGUAGAGAUCGGGAGGAAUACCAGUGGCGAAGGCGGCCUUCUGGACUGACACUGACGCUGAGGUGCGAAAGCGUGGGUAGCAAACAGGAUUAGAUACCCCGGUAGUC
rnacentral:rRNA from 1 species